AUAAAGGCAGCUGGAAAGCCUGAUUGGAGUGGUAAGUCUAUUGUGACUUACUACUUGUAAGUGACCAACAACAGGGUCCUGGGCUCACUCCCUUCAACUCUGGUAUAACUUAAUGCGCCCUGUUUAUUUCUACCACGAGGGGUUUGUCCUCACUGUAACUGUGUCUGAGAAACUCUUCCCAGUUUGUUAGGUAGAUUCAAGAUGUCCUUCGUAAGGAGCAAAAGAGACUUCAGAGUCCUGGGAAAAACUGAUAUGGACAAGUCCAAGACUAGUUUCUUCAUCACAGGUUGCUUUGAGGAGAAGGUCCGUUUGGAAAUUGUGCUGGGAUGAGAUUCCAAUUGGGCAGUGACAGAAGACUUUUUGAUUAUUCUCUUGGCCCAGCUGACACAGAAUCUACUGCCUCAGUGUCUGUCUUCCAGCUCCUACCUCCACUGUCUAGAGGAGAUUUACUUGCCAAAGGUCUGAAACAGAGGCCAUGCAACCUGAGAAACACAGCACAAUGUGAUGAGCAGGGACCCUCAUGCAAUGGCAGGCUUCCGCUGGAGGUGAAUAAAAGUUUGGACAUGGUGGCCUUGACUAGGGCUUAGAUCGGAGGAUAAUUCUAUGCUCAGGAUUUAAGAAGUGAUAUCAAUCCAAGUUCUUACACAUUUCUCGGUCCUCCUACCUUACCUCAAAGCCAGCUGGACUUGGAAUGAAAAUAAAUAUUUUUUCUAUAUAACUCAUUGAAACAUACUUGCUGAGUACCUACUAUGUAAAGUAAGAAGCUUUAAAGAUCAGGUAAAAAAUGCCUCAAUAUAAAAAACAAUCUGUAUAGUGACAGGAGAGGACUGUUGAGCCUUCCUGUUAAAUCUCCCCAGAGAGGGGUAAGUGAGACAUCAAAGCACAGCCCCAUAGAGACACAGAUGCUUGUGGUGAUGGCCAGCACAAUUUCUGUAGACUGUUGCACAUCGCAAAGACUUAGGAGACCAGGACCCUGCUUCCAGGCGUGCUUGGUUUGCCCUAAAGGUAUCCUAUUGGCAUGGAAGUUGAUGGCUUGUAAAAGCUCAGAGACUGGCACUUGGACAAGAGCAAUGAGAUGAAGUGGGAAGAGUCUCCGUGGGCAAUAGAUACAAGCAUGCCAAGACUCCCCUUGAGUUGAUGGGGAGAUGUUUGCAUAUCCCUGGUGUUACGUACUUUGACUGUGCACUCUGAGGGCUUUCUUCAGGGCCCUCACCGGUGCAGAAAGCACCGGUGAAGUCAUCCAUGCCCAGGGUCCAUAGCAUGGCACCUCCCAAGUUGUUCUGCUUAAGCCGUUCGGCCUGUUUCAGGAUAGAGGAUAAUAGUCAUUUGAUUUCUUGAAGCCCAGGGUUGGGCUUUCAGACCUCCCAUGGGACUCAUUUUAUCUUGAUAUGAAAGCUCUUCACGUUGUCAUAACCAACCCAUUUGUUGCCCUGAUAGGCAUAAGGUACUUCCUGAUCAGCAUCCCAGGCCUCAGUGGCUCCAUCAUCCAAGAAGGUGCAAAUCUUUAAAAGUCACGAGAUAAUAAUCCUUUAAAUAUUGUGUCAUGCUAGAGAGAAAAACACACUCUAUUUUUUCUUCCUUUAAUAUAUGUAUCUGGGGGUGUUUUCCAGUGGCUUUUAUCUGGAGUCAUGAAGUUUGAGAUAGUUUUCCUUUUGUGGUUCUGGGGAUGAAACUCAUGGUAUGGCUCAUGCUGCAAGAGUACUCUGCAACUGAACUUCAUUCACAGCCCAUGUUUUUAAUUAUUUAUUUGCUUUUUGGUAGAGUCUCAGCUUAUAGCCCAGAAUUCAAACUAUUGACCUCUGAAUUCUGAAAGCUGAUAUUGCAGCUUAAUAUAUACGGCCCCAUAGCAGACAGAAAUAUUCAUGACAUAUCAUAUGAUACAUCUUUAAAAUGUAUGGUACUAGAGAUGGAACCCAGAGCCAUACUCAUUAAGGCAAGAGCUAGACCACAGAGCAACACCCUCAUCUCAUGCUGUUUUCAAAUGCUCAUUUACUGUCCAUGUUAUAGGGUUGACGUUUUAGAGUCUGUAGCAAUAUGGGGCAUAUGUCCAUUUAUCACUUUAUUUAUCCAUAUAAAUAAACUUAAGAAUCUUG